UACGUAGGUGGCAAGCGUUGUCCGGAAUUACUGGGCGUAAAGGGCUCGUAGGCGGCCAACUAAGUCAUACGUGAAAUCCCUCAGCUUAACUGGGGAACUGCGUGUGAUACUGGAUGGCUUGGAUUUGGGAGAGGGAUGCGGAAUUCCAGGUGUAGCGGUGAAAUGCGUAGAUAUCUGGAGGAACACCGGUGGCGAAGGCGGCAUCCUGGACCAAUAUUGACGCUGAGGAGCGAAAGCUAGGGGAGCAAACGGG
rnacentral:rRNA from 1 species